rnacentral:rRNA from 1 species
AAUAGAUACCCACGGUAGUCCACGCCGUAAACAAUGAGUGCUAAGUGUUAGAGGGUUUCCGCCCUUUAGUGCUGCAGCUAACGCAUUAAGCACUCCGCCUGGGGAGUACGGUCGCAAGACUGAAACUCAAAGGAAUUGACGGGGGCCCGCACAAGCGGUGGAGCAUGUGGUUUAAUUCGAAGCAACGCGAAGAACCUUACCAGGUCUUGACAUCCUCUGACAACUCUAGAGAUAGAGCGUUCCCCUUCGGGGGACAGAGUGACAGGUGGUGCAUGGUUGUCGUCAGCUCGUGUCGUGAGAUGUUGGGUUAAGUCCCGCAACGAGCGCAACCCUUGAUCUUAGUUGCCAGCAUUUAGUUGGGCACUCUAAGGUGACUGCCGGUGACAAACCGGAAGAAGGUGGGGAUGACGUCAAAUCAUCAUGCCCCUUAUGACCUGGGCUACACACGUGCUACAAUGGAUGGUACAAAGAGCUGCGAACCCGCGAGGGUAAGCCAAUCUCAUAAAGCCAUUCUCAGUUCGGAUUGGU